rnacentral:lncRNA from 1 species
AUGAAUAUCUUUAAUAUAGUGAAAUGUUCUGUUUCCCACAAAAAGGCCCUAAGAGAGAUCUACGCCCUUGGCCACCAGAGUCUCCAGUCUUGUCACCCAACCAGAUGUAAGAAAUUUGAAGAAAAAACUGAAGUUACUCAAUUCUCCACGGUCCUCUCUUUGCUCACCUUACAGCUCAGCCUCUCUGAACAGAAGGCUGACGUCAUUCCUGUGGUAUGUGCGUUUCAAUCCUUUUUCCUGUCCUUUUCCAUCUUCACUAAAACAUCCUUCCCUUGGGUUUCUUUCUUUCUCAUUCUCUUGCUCUCAUUCUCAGUCUCCUGUUCACUCUUGCUCUUUCUUCCUAUAAACAACAAUAUAAAUGACCACUUAGCUGUAGCUGCAUAGUGUAUUCUUGGUCUUUAUGGGGACAGCAUGCUCCAUAAUGGAUCGCCUUUGUGGAAAAGUGCAAUCCCUGUAAUUAGGAGCACUUUGACAGAGAACCCAGGCUCUAUAACUCAGGGAAUCACAAGCGUUUCUGCUCUGGCAAAGUUCAGUUUAAUGCAAAAGAAACAUGUGUUUCCUGUCCUUUAUUCUAAAUCGAUUGAGCCAUUCGUCUAAUUUAAACACUCUGUAAAUUACAUACAUCUUCCAAAGAUAGGAGUGAGGUCGACAUACUUGAUAUAUGCUUUUUCAUAUGGCUUGAAUCCAUCACUGCCUUCCACAAGGCCCCUUAGCUUUAUCCUGAGUGGAUGGAGGCCCCAUAAUUCUCUGAUCUACUCCAUUUUCUCUGACACCCCUUAGGAUCCUUGUUCAGACAAUUUGGCCAAAGAAUCACGGCUGACUUUCAGAAGGCAUGGAUUGAAGGCUAACCCGGCCCAGCAUCCCUUCCUAUCUUAUAUUUUAUUAGCACAACAAUCAAACCCUCUUCAAUUUGUCUUCUCAUUCUGUCCAUUAUUAUAAGAGACUUGAUGAGGAAAAAGUCAAGGAAAGUAGAUUGGAUAUGGAUGUUCUGACAUGCAGUUAUGCACCGUUUAGCACAACUGAAUUUUAGAAGAAAAAGAAAAAAAAAAAAAAAAACACCUCUUCUUUCAAUUAUUCAGUUUCACUGGCAUCUGAGCCUUCAAGAAGAGUUAAGACUCUUCCAAAUUCUCUUUGGAUUUUAGCAUCUCCAGCUGCAGGUUCCCUCGACUUCUCAGUUCUUGUUAAGGAAACUGUGGUCUAGCUAUCAUUGAGACUCCCUCUCAUUAUAAAUCAGCGAAAAUUCAUUUCAUUUUAGUUUUUUUUUUUUUAGAGCUGAUCUUUGUUCUCAUGCCCAUCCAUUACACAAUAUAUUAAAAGGAUAUACAAACAGGAAGAGAAAUAAGAGCUCAGAGAAUUCAAGCCCCUUAUUUUGUAAAUACACUGAAAACAGGCAACUGAUAUAUAGAUAGAACUAAAAUUCUUGAAUAUUUGUUCCUUUUCUAGGUGUUAGAAAAUAUAAUAAAAUCACAAAUAAGACAAGCCUAUAAUCA